CCUACGGGAGGCAGCAGUGGGGAAUAUUGCGCAAUGGGGGAAACCCUGACGCAGCAACGCCGCGUGAGUGAAGAAGUACCUCGGUAUGUAAAGUUCUUUCAGCGGGGAAGAAGGCAGUCGGUACCCGACUCAGAAGCCCCGGCUAACAACGUGCCAGCAGCCGCGGUAAUACGGAGGGGGCGAGCGUUAUCCGGAUGUACUGGGCGUAAAGGGAGCGUAGACGGUGUCGCAAGUCAGGAGUGAAAGCCCGUGGCUCAACCGCGGUACCGCAUUUGAAACUGGGAGGCUGGAGUGGUGGAGGGGUAGGCGGAAUUCCAGGUGUAGCGGUGAAAUGCGUAGAUAUCGGGAGGAACACCGAUGGCGAAGGCAGCAUACUGGACAUGGACUGACGCUGAGGCGCGAAAGCGUGGGGAGCGAACAGGAUUAGAUACCCCAGUAGUC
rnacentral:rRNA from 1 species